rnacentral:rRNA from 1 species
UACGGGGGGGGCAAGCGUUGUUCGGAAUUACUGGGCGUAAAGGGCUCGUAGGCGGCCAACUAAGUCAGACGUGAAAUCCCUCGGCUUAACCGGGGAACUGCGUCUGAUACUGGAUGGCUUGAGUUUGGGAGAGGGAUGCGGAAUUCCAGGUGUAGCGGUGAAAUGCGUAGAUAUCUGGAGGAACACCGGGUGGCGAAGGCGGCAUCCUGGACCAACACUGACGCUGAUGAGCGAAAAGCCAGGGGAGCAAACGGG